rnacentral:rRNA from 1 species
CCGCGUGAGGGAUGACGGCCUUCGGGUUGUAAACCUUCAGCAGGGAAGAAGCGAAAGUGACGGUACCUGCAGAAGAAGCACCGGCUAACUACGUGCCAGCAGCCGCGGUAAUACGUAGGGUGCAAGCGUUGUCCGGAAUUAUUGGGCGUAAAGAGCUCGUAGGCGGUUUGUCGCGUCUGCUGUGAAAACUCAGGGCUUAACCCUGAGCUUGCAGUGGGUACGGGCAGACUAGAGUGCGGUAGGGGAGACUGGAAUUCCUGGUGUAGCGGUGAAAUGCGCAGAUAUCAGGAGGAACACCGGUGGCGAAGGCGGGUCUCUGGGCCGUAACUGACGCUGAGGAGCGAAAGCAUGGGGAGCGAACAGGAUUAGAUACCCUGGUAGUCCAUGCCGUAAACGUUGGGCGCUAGGUGUGCUCAUUCCACGAGUUCUGUGCCGCAGCUAACGCAUUAAGCGCCCCGCCUGGG